AUUGAACGCUGGCGGCAGGCCUAACACAUGCAAGUCGAGCGGUAGCACAGAGAAGCUUGCUUCUUGGGUGACGAGCGGCGGACGGGUGAGUAACGCGUGGGAAUCUACCUGGUAGUGGGGGACAACAGUCGGAAACGACUGCUAAUACCGCAUACGCCCUUUGGGGGAAAGUGGGGGAUCUUCGGACCUCACGCUAUCAGAAGAGCCCGCGUCGGAUUAGCUGGUUGGUGGGGUAAGAGCCUACCAAGGCGAUGAUCCGUAGCUGGUCUGAGAGGAUGACCAGCCACACUGGGACUGAGACACGGCCCAGACUCCUACGGGAGGCAGCAGUGGGGAAUAUUGGACAAUGGGGGCAACCCUGAUCCAGCCAUGCCGCGUGUGUGAAGAAGGCCUUCGGGUUGUAAAGCACUUUCAGCUGUGAGGAAAGGUGAGUGGUCAAUACCCGCUUACUGUGACGUUAACGGCAGAAGAAGGACCGGCUAACUCCGUGCCAGCAGCCGCGGUAAUACGGAGGGUCCGAGCGUUAAUCGGAAUUACUGGGCGUAAAGCGCGCGUAGGUGGUUCAGUCAGUCAGAUGUG
rnacentral:rRNA from 1 species